rnacentral:rRNA from 1 species
UACGGAGGGGGCGAGCGUUUAUUCGGAAUUAUUGGGCGUAAAGGGCGCGUAGGCGGCUGUACAAGUCAAAGGUGAAAUCCCUCGGCUCAACUGAGGAACUGCCUUUGAAACUGUACGGCUUGAGGCCGGGAGGGGGUAGCGGAAUUCCCAGUGUAGCGGUGAAAUGCGUAGAUACUGGGAGGAACACCAGUGGCGAAGGCGGCUACCUGGACCGGUUCUGACGCUGAGGCGCGGAAAGCGUGGGUAGCAAACAGG